UCAGACGAUGCGUCAUGCAUAUCAAUAAGCGGAGGAAAAGAAACUAACAAGGAUUCCCUUAGUAACGGCGAGUGAAGCGGGAAGAGCUCAAAUUUGAAAUCUUAAAGGGUUUCCCUUUACGAAUUGUAGUUUAAAGAAGUGUUUUCUGUUAGAGUUUCGGUAAAAGUUCUUUGGAAUAGGACAUCAUAGAGGGUGAGAAUCCCGUAUUUGACCGUUACUUUCUAGCUUUGUGAUACACUUUCAAAGAGUCGGAUUGUUUGGGAAUGCAGUCCAAAAUGGGUGGUAAAUUUCAUCUAAAGCUAAAUAUUGGCGAGAGACCGAUAGCGAACAAGUACCGUGAGGGAAAGAUGAAAAGAACUUUGAAAAGAGAGUUAAACAGUACGUGAAAUUGUCAAAAGGGAAGCGUUUGACACCAGUGUUGUUUUCUCGAAAAUCAAUUAAAAAAGGCAGGAUUUUGUGUUGUAUUGACUUUAUCAGCUUUCUGCACUCUUUUCUUGUCUUUUUUUAAUGCACUUUUCGUUUAACAAGUCAACAUCAAUUUCUUUUGUUGUAAAAGGGUCAUUGGAAGGUGGCUUUCUUUUCGGAGAAAGUGUUUAUAGCCUUUGGACCUCUGCAAUCGGAGAGAUUGAGGUCUGCAGCGUAGAUCCUUCGGGGUUAGAUACAUUUGUGCUAAGUUAUAGCCUUUCAUAGACAACUUGUUGACUAUGAUCAGUCAUGUAGCUUACUCGCUUAUGCUAUUUUACCUACGCUUAGGAUGUUGAUCUACAGAGCGAGAGU
rnacentral:rRNA from 1 species